AUUAUUUAUUUACCUUUCUGAUUUCUGUACUCUGUGUAGUCGUGAAUCUGAUAAUUUACCAACAUGCGAUUUUUGCCGACAGUUGUUCUCUUGGUUGCUGUAGUUAUGAUUGUUGCUGAUGCAGGUAGGAACGGUCGUCGUUGGCAUAAUCGUAAUAAUCGGCGUUAUGGGAGACACAGAGGAACAGCGUUGAGAAACGUCAGCUGUCGAACAGUAAUGAAUGCGGGUGUUUGUGAGAGAUGUUGUGAUCCGUGUAGAAAUGUCGAGUGUUGUGCGCCCCUAACGUGUGAUAUGGGAGUGUGUAAUUGUAACGGCAAUGUCUGUGGUGAGGAUCAAACCUGCACUGGAACUAGCGAUGGCGCUAGUUGUAUAGACAAUUGUAAAGACGAAGAUUGUGCUGGGUCCCUAACGUGUGACGAGGGGGAGUGCAAAUGUAACGGCACCGUCUGUGGAGCUGAUCAAACCUGCACUGAAACUAUUGAUGAUGCCUUUUGUAAAGACGAUUGUACAAACAACGACGAUUGUGAUUCCUACGAAAUAUGUGAUGGGGGAGAUUGUAAAUGUGGUCGCAACGUCUGUACCCCUAGUCAAAUGUGCCUACCUGAACGUGAUGGUAUAGGAGGUUUACUGUGUUAUAACUGAACAACAUCGGAAUUACAAACUUUACGACCAACACCAGCUAGCGUAGCUUCUGCAGCCAAACUGAAUUCAAAUUUACUUUACAAUACUAUCAUGAAAUAAUAUAAAUAAAUUUUAAUGUUUGUCUCUUGUUUAA